ensembl:lncRNA
GUUUUUGAGCUCGAAUGCAACCACCCGGUCCUUGCUCUUUGCGUGUGCUGUGCCAUGUUGACAUACUUCCUUGCUUUUACAUGCUUUUAUUAAGCACUGAGUGGUCAUUAAUCACAGAAGCGCUGUUAGAAAAGCUUCAAGGAAACAGAGCACGAGGCCAAAUGAUGGUUUCUAACAAGCAGACACCCAGAGACAUUACAAAACAGGCUAUAUAUCACUGGCACAGCUAAAACCUGCACCGUAACUCAAGAGAUGAUCCAACUGCAUUACAUCCUGGCCACCCAGCACAAAUACCCCCUUUUACGAUGGAAAUGGAAGAAAGGAAAAGAAUGAUCAAACUGCCAUUGGGUUUUAGAGCAUGCAGCGCCUUUGAUACAGGCCAGUCGACUGUAGCACAGACUGAAAGAUCCCAUUUUGCUCUAAGGAGAAAAUAAUGCAAUCCAGCCACAGAAAGAAGGGAGGGAUGGGAGUUCACAUAAGAGUAUGGAGAUCUGCCACAGUGGAGAGACCCUUCCAUGCUUCAGUGUGAUGAAGACAUGGAGAUGUGGCAUGGAAUCUGGCAAGCGUCAGUGAUGACGUGGAGGGGAUGUCACGUAAUUAAUCUCCAUUAACUCCUGUUCACCUCUCCUUUGAACUGUCACUUGACUUGAAUAGAGCACGUGCGUAUGCUGUGAAAGCACUGUGGAUCUGUUUAUAUAUAUAUAUUCUGUGUGUGUGUGUGUGUGUGUGUGUGUGUGUGUGUGUGUGUGUGUGUGUGUGUGUGUGUGUGUGUGUGUGUGUGAGAAAGAGUGUGUAAGUGUAAGUGAGAGAUAGUAACAGCUACCAGCCAUUUGAAUUUAAUUACAAGAUGAAUGCAUCUUCCAUAGAAGACAGAUCCUGUUUGAAUUUUAAAGGUUAUGCAAGACCAUCAAUAAAAUAUAAUUUUGGCUAAUAUUUGGAAAAUAAUGCAGUUUAAAAAAUAAAAAACCCACACAUUCACAAUGAAAACUGUACAUUGUAGCUGGUUACACUAAAUUAUAACUAUCCACUACCUGUAGUCUAGGAAAUUUAAGCUUAUCCAAGUUUCCUUCAUGAGUAAAACGCAAACCUGAAAUGAACCCUAAUGCUUUUGUUGGACCUGAAGUGAGAGCGAAUGAUGGUUCCUGUGAACCCUAAUGGCUUCCUUUUCCCCCAGGACCCAGUGAACAGGAGCCUAAUGAUCUCUGAGACCAGAUGAGGCACAUCAGGCUCAGGCCUCCUCUUUUAGAUCACGCAAAUGCGCACAUCAGCAUACACAUAACAAAACAACCUAUUAGAUGCAUGUGCACAUGAGAAUAUAACAGAAAACUGCAUUUAAGCAUUUAGACAGAGUAUUCAGACAUAGGAUAUAACCUAAAGUCAAAGUUAUACUGUAAAACUCAAUUUAUACACGACUAUCUACCACCCAGUUGUCCUGUAAGUUAUCUGAAAUGAUCAGGCAUUUUAAGGGUCUAGUGGGUAGUGCCUCGUCUCCAGACAUCUACUGUCAGACUGCCCAUCCACUUUCCUGACUGUCACUCCAUUCAUCAUCCUACUGCAUGCAACACAGCUCCGCUUAGCUGCAUUCUUCAGUUACAAUACAGCUUUCAUACUCAUCUUGAUGUCUGGCUUAGUCAUCAGAGAACAGACAGUAGCUCCUCAGUUGUCUCAAUAACCUUAUCCUGUAUGCAACUGCCAACCUAUACAUGUAAAACUAUCUGUGAUUAGGCAUUUAUCUAUGAAAUUAAUGCUAGUGUGAAUAAGUUUUACCAAAUCAACGGCCCUGACCUGUGAAUGAACAUUUUUGAUCGUCUAUUAUCCUAGCUGACAAAAAAAGUAUAUAAAUGACUCAACAGAGAGGUUGGUGAGUUUCGGACCUGAGAAAAUCUCACAUAACAAGUAACACUUUCAAAUUCUAUAUAAUUAAUUCUAUCCAGUCUUCAAGUCUGACAUCAUUAGCCAUUUCCGUGUCCAAACUCCGCUUCUGGUCCUAAAGUCAAACGAACACCGCGGCAUCACUGAGAGUUAUAAACUGUCUAAAUUCUUUCAUUUGUAAUAGAAUGAUCCAUGUAGCUGCUCUACAAUUAAGUUUAACAUCCAGGUAUCCAUGAAAACAGAAUGUAUGAAGUUUUACGUAGUUCGAAGUUAGCAGGGAGUUAGCUCGCUAGUUUCCAUCUAAAGAUGAUAUACCAUGUUCUGAGGGAUUUCUGAAAAAAUUAAAACGUAUAGCUCUGCUAUCACUUCCAACAUAAAUGAAAACAGAAAACUAAACAGUGAUGUUUGUAGGGUUAUUGAAGUUGGACUAGCUGGUAUAUAAUGAUGUGCUACAUGGUGGCUAGCUACACAGCUAUGGUUAGUAUAAUAUUAGUGCAUUAGCACAGUGAAGCUGGAGGAUGAACACCAAGUCCACUCAAUAACAGUUAAUGUGCGGGUUCCCGAUGGUUAGGGACAAAUGCAAUCACAUGACAGGAUGCUGUAAACAGACCAAACUUCAGUCAGGAGAACAACUGAGAUAAUCCAUCCACAAUACGAGGUUAGGCAUUAGUAUACUGCUGCAUGGGCUGGGCUGUAGUUACAUCGUAAGGUUUUAAAAAUGAGCUUUAAAAUGAAUAGCGCUAAUAAAAAUUGAGAGAGGCAGACAGUGAUCACUGCCUUUUUUAGGGGCUUUUUCAGAUUAAACAGAACAAGAUACAAAGCAUUAAAACAUGUUAAAAUCACAACAGCCUUAAUAAACGCAGAGUAGUUUGGACCCGGAAGCAGGGUUCAUACAUCAUCCCUUAACAACUGGAUAGAUGGAUGUCUACUCAACUCUGGAGAUGUAUUUAUUCAUAUAAAUAUAGAGAUGUAUUUAUUAUUUUAACUCAACAAAGGCCUAAAUAGUUGCAGAAAAUGGAGGGAUGGCUGUUAGUGUAAUCUCUUUAUCACAUCCUCUGUUGAAAGUUUUCAUAUUUACCAAAUGCAUACAUAAGUAAUUUUUUGGUGUUGCAACACACAACAGUUAAACAGCUGGCAUCUGGCAAAGGUCACGCUAGUGCUCAGUCAUUCCAUUAAUCGAAAACAUGCACGUCAAAUCUGAUAGCUAAGUGAGCUACAGACAUGUUGUCAACAAAUCAGGACAGGAAUGAUGUAGUUUGGUGGUAGAAGUUCCAGGAAACACAUUAACCAUGUUAUAAAGAUGACUAUCAGCACUGAUCGUUUAAUAGCUGCCACUGAUCUGAAAGACACUCAACCCUGGUAGCUAUAAAAUAGAAAACCUUAGUAGUCAAAACACUUCUUUGGAUACAUUUCUGUAAAAAUAUGUCAUCUAAAAAUUAUUGUAAGAGCAUUAUAAUGAUAGUGUAUGUAAGAAAAUCCUUUGAUGAAAUACCUGCUGUGGCCCUUUCUUUUUUCACACAGUAAAUGGAGAAGGAAGCUAAAUCCCUUACUUGUCAUAUUUAGGAUCCUCAAAGAUCUGAGAAUGUGUUUUUCAGAAGGCGAUUUAAAGUUACAGAAGCAAAGAGCCUCCUACGGACAAACCCAAACAAGAAGAUGAUUUACAGAUACCCCAUAGUUACGGUGAAGUUUCACAUGUGGGAGAGAAUAAAGAGCCUGGAGAGGAGAUCGUUUCUCUCAAUGCCGAUCCAAAGAUUAGAGAAAAAGGACUGGUUUUGAAGCCACAUACAUUUAGGCCCAACCUCAUCAGAGCAGUCUUCAGAGAAAUAUCUGUGUUGGAUCACCAGAAAGAUAACAAGUGUAAGUUCUGACUUCUUUAAAGUUGCACCCCUCAUAUAAUAACUAUAACUACAGAAACACAAGCAGAUAAAGAAGUCCUCAGCAGGUCACUGUAUCCCCUAAAGUAUGCGUUUUACAUAGCAACACUUUUUUUUCAAAUCUUAUUUUACCAAAAUGAAUCAUACAUAGGACUUCAAUAGUUGGGAGGUGUGUACAGGGAGUUGGGUAUGAGAUGAAAAACAAGAGCUGAAAUGGCUGAGGGGAAUCAUUACCAGCUUUGACUUUAGAGGGGGGGAAAAGGGAAACCCACAAAAGAAUUCAGAGGAGUUUGCUAAAGGGGCUUAUCCGUAAUUAAAUAAUUUGAAGAAUAUUUUUUCAAGACCAAAGGAAGCCACCUUUUAGUUCACCCCCCCAUCCCUCACCCUAUUCCCUCCUACACUUUUUCCCUUAUUGCCACUAAUCAUAACUAUAAUCCCUCAAGUGAAGAGAGGUUUACUUCACUUAGGGAAUCGCUAAUAUCACCAUGUGAGAAUCUUAAAAUCUGAAAAUAUUUUGGCUUUUAAGGUAGUUCAGCAUAUCAACAACAGCAUGCGGUUUGCAUGUUGUUGGAAGCCUAACCCUAUAUAAAGAUUUUUUUUUUAAUGUCACAAAAUGUAUAUCAGUAAAUACACCUGCUUCUAUUUAUCCGAAGCAAGUCAAAUAGAAGGAGAGAGACCAUAUAGUACAUGUAGUUUAUGUAACAUUUUCAAAUGCAAAGAAAUGUCCACUAAGUAAGCGUGCAGUAGGUGUUAACAGUGGAAAGCACUUAGUCUUCAUUGCCAUACAGAUGCACCAGAGUAAUAUCUGCUGACAUCCCAGUCCAAACAGAGCAACAAUAAUAGAACAGACUUGCAUUUCAAAUUGAAUACAGACUGCCAUUUCAGCUCAUCUCACCGGCCACUUUCACUUGAAGUAUGGCUCACCUGUUUCACUCUUACUUCCUCCACAUGUCUGGUAAUUCCCAAGUCCAACUUCUUUUUAUCAUUACCAUUUCUCUUUGCUUCUACUUGUCUGGCAUUGGGGAAAAUGUAUCUGGCUCCAAUUCCAAAUGUCAGAAAAGUGAAUGAAUGCUGUGUGAAAGUGAUGUUAACUCCAUGACAACUUCUAAUAUCAUGAUUUAUUGCAGCUAAACAUAUGUCUGGGGUACAGUCAUGUGCUAGUGCCCCGGCUUUGAGUCUGUGUCAGCUUCAUUUACUAUAUCCAUUUCAUGAUGAAAAAAAGAUCUCAUACCUUAUCAAUUGUAUUGGUGGGCACAUCCACAGAGAAAAUGCCUUGUCUGAAAGUGUCCACAACAUUAGACAAAAUCCAUCAAUCACUUGAGGAAAAUCCUAAAUUAUCUGUGGGUUUGGCUGUUCCAAGCUAGUGGAACCUCAAAAAUCAUAAUAGACACAUUUAAACUUGCUCUGACAGACACGGCAGAGCUCUGUUCCUUCUUUCUAAGAAUUUUCACCUUUUUUUAAUAAGAAGCCAUCCAGAAUGCCAAAAUGUACUCAUUUUUGGUUUGUUAUUCUCCCUUUUGUGCCAGGAAAAAUAAACGUUAAAUAAAGAAAUCGCUUUUAAAAUAUAUAUAGUCCUGGGAACACUGACAUUUGGGAUAUUUGAGGUACUUUUGACCACUGUGGGAUUAUUAAAUGUCAAGAAUUCAUCGGUGCAAUAGAGCUGUGAUCAUCCCAGGUAGAGUCACAAGAUUUUGCAGGUAUGUAGUUGGCAUUCAAGUGAAGGGUAAGUAUAAAGAUGGAUACAGCUGAGAACGUUAUCCUUUUCAGUUGAGUUGCUACAUGACCUCCAGCUUAAUGUGACUUUUUAAGUUUGUAUGUUACAUAAAAUAACUAUCCUCCUCUGAUAAUUCCUCCUGUCUUUUCAACAUAUGCACUUUCUGACAAGCCUGAUCACACCCGGCCUCCUUAGUCCCGUUGACCUUCUCUCUUCUCAUGUUCAUUUAGGUCCUGGAGCAAUUGGCUCCUGCAUGGGCUUAUCAGGCCGAUAAGAACCUCUGCCUCCUUUCAGGAAGCUCUGAAACUCUCAGGCCCUAAGGGCUCUGGAGAGGAUAAAGACUGCCUCUCAGGGCUUAUCUCCCCUUCACCCAGAGGUACAGAGAAGGAACCAAGGCUAGCCAGGUGGGCAUCCCUGUAAGGCAUGUCAGUAUUAUGCCAACCAGACCACAGCCCUCAGUCUCUAUCCUCUAGGCUCCUUGCCUCCUUCCCUUCCAACACUAUCUGCACUUGGCAGCUGUGGGUCAUCACCAAACAUGAAGCGGAUAUUAGUGAUAAGUUAAAGUUGCCUGGCAAGCCAUGAAUGCACCAGUUACUCUUUGUCUGUUUUCAGCACUGCUAAUAAUUAAGCUAUUGUUAUUAUAGUUUAUUCGUUUGUUUGUUAUUUACCGACAAUUUUAUUUUAAUUUUCUCAAUUUCUCCACACAAUAAAUGUGAAUGGAACUUCACUGGUUUCAGCACUGAAAGGGAAAGUGGAUAAUGACUGAAUGGAUGGAUAGACAAACAAGAACUUCAGUUCAAACUUUACAGUACUCAGUUAGCAUGAUAAAUAACAAAGGUCAUAACAAUAUUCAGUGGAAAACAAACAAAAAACCACUGUAUGGCUUAUUUGGAAUGGUUGCCAGGAGAAAUCAUCUUCUCUCUAAAAAUAAUAUAGAAGCAUGGCUUAGGGUUGUAAAGCUGCUUCUGAACAAACCACAAGAUUCUGCAACAGAAGACCAAAGUCUGGCCAGAAUACACAGUGCCACGUUUGGUAAAAACCAAACACAGCACAUCAGCACAAACACCUCAUACCAAAUGUGAAGAGCAGUGGUGGAGGGAUGAUGAUUUGGGUUUGAUUUGAAACCACAGGAUCUGGGCACCUUGCAGUCAUUGAGUCGACCACAAACUCCUUUCUAUACCAAAGUAUUUCAGAGUCAAAUAUGAGCGUCUUUGUCAAACAGAUAAAGCUUGGUGCAAACUGGUUCAUGCAACUGGACAAUGAUCCCAACCACACCUUCAAAUAUGCAACAGAAUGGCUCAAAAAGAAAAUAAUCAAGUUGUUCCAAAGGUCAAAGUCCAGGCCUUAACAUGAUUGAAUUACUGUGGCACGAACUUAAAAGAGCUGUACAUGAACAAAUGCUUGCAAACUUCAAUGAUUUAGAGCAAUGUCAUUAAGAAGAGCGAGCCAAAAUUCCUCCACAGUGAUGUGAGACUGAUAAAACAAUUACUUGUUGUGAAGACUUUUUUUUACAUGACUGUACAUCAAAACAACACCCUCUUCAGUCCUUUGAGCGAGUCCAGUUUCUGUUGUGCACUACCGUCUUUGCACAUUUCCUGGAUCCUUGCAAGAGAGUGAAAUGGAUGAUUGUACUUUCACUUGAAACCUGAAAACACACAGCGAUGUGUGGCGUAGCAACAACAAAAGGAUAACCACUGAAGUAGAUGAAGGUGUAGCAAUUUCAUUUUGGCUGCAAAGUCAGCAAAGCUCACUUCCAGGUUGAAACAGUGUUACUUUUGCUUUUGGGCUACUUCUCUGUCUUCUUUAAUUCUACAGAAUUUUUUUCCUGCAAGCUUAGCCCUAAUCAGAUAAUGUGCUGAAUAUCAGAUUUUACUGUAUAGUGAAUGUUUACACAUGAGGUAUCACCCAUUGGUCCCCUGGAGUGACUAUUUAUGAUUAGGAAUGAAAAAGGUUCAUUAGUGAUCAUAACCAAUUGUUAGUCUUUAGGGCAUGAGAUGUUUUUGCACUGGUGUCGACUCAGCAGAUCGAGAAAGGUAACCAUGGGGCGCAAAUUCAUAAAAUAUGAAAUGUAUGUUUUGGGUUUCCUGAAUGAUACACGAGCUCUCCCUCUCUAAGAAAGUUUUAAUAUAAAACAGAUCCAAGCACACAGGGAAAUAGAGUUUCCAAACUUUGGCAGCAACUGUACUAAAAUUUUUUAAUUCUAAUUUUUUUUUAUUACACUGCAAAUAUGUGUGCGCUUGUGUGUGCACUGUGUGAAAAUACCUGCUUAUUGCAAAGCAACAAAGAAAAAAGUCAUCAUUCAAAAGUGCAUUACAAUGAAAAUCCUCACUGAUGUCAUUCUAGAAGACAAAAAGCGUAUUAGACAGAUGUGUGUAAACAUUUUUAUGCUGCUUUGUUUUGUGCUUUUCUAUAAUAAAUACUAAAUUGUUUUGUUAAUUACAUUGCAAGACUGAUACCCUUAAUAAUUUCUACUUUUGUCUGAUCAACAGUCCAAAACAUAGCAGAGAUCAGUAAUCAGCUACAGAAAAACCAAGAAAAUAAGCAAAUUCUUACAUGGAAAAAGCUGGAUCAAGUAAAUCUAGGUAAUAUUUGCCAAAAAAUAAAUGUAAUCCAAAUAACAUUUUCAGGUAUUUAACUCAUUUAUUUUCCAUUAUGAGAACUAGAAAUGAUUAUGUUAGUGAAUGUCACCCCAGCUGGUCGCAGCAGAUGGCCGCCCCUCCCUGAGCCUGGUUCUGCUGGAGGUUUCUUCCUGUUAAAAGGGAGUUUUUCCUUCCCACUGUCGCCAAAGUGCUUGCUCAUAGGGGGUCAUAUGAUUGUUGGGUUUUUCUCUGUAUGUAUUAUUGUAGGGUCUACCUUACAAUGUAAAGCGCCUUGAGGCGACUGUUGUUGUGAUUUGUUACUGUGUAAAUAAAAUUGAAUUGAAUGUUAAAGGAUAAAUUGAAAUUUAAACAGCCUUGUCAAAGUGCUUUACUCUAAAAUUGACAUUCACCAUUACAUGCACAAAUCCAUACUAUGCUUUCACUGUAAAGGCCAUCAAUACCACAUGUUAACUAUCACACAGACUUAUGACUGACACAUUUGGGGCACUGAAAGACACUUUAGCUGACUCAAGGGGUUUAGGACCAAAACAUCAACCUGCCAAUUAGGUGAUGACUCAGUCUACCUGUUGGGCCACAGCUGCCUGCUUUUCCACUCUCAUCUUUAGUUACAUUGUUUUCACAUUCUGCAAUACCCAUUAUUUGAAACAGAGCACAAAUAUGAGGCAAAGAGCUGAUCGUGUGCCUCUUGGAAAGUCCGAAUAUCUUGAAAUUGGUAUUAAUGUGAUUAUUUAGGGAAUAUCAUUCAUGUAUUUUUGCAUGACAUACCCAAAAUUAACACCAUCUGUCUUCAUAUGCUCCACAAGGCAUAUGGGGGACACAAAACCUCACAUGCAAGCAAGCAAAAAUGACCACUACACAACUCUCCGUGCCCGUGCAGCCGAAUACUUGCAAUGUGCUACUAAACAUAAUGUAAAGUCAGGCAGAAAGCGAUCCGCUGCUGUUUCAACCUGUGUUUACUUUGCUGCCAAUCACGUUUUCACUCCGCGGUUUAUCGAAACCACAUAAACCUGAGAAACAGCUCAGGAGACAUAAUAGAUCAUAAUGAAGUGGCC